GAUGAACGCUGGCGGCGUGCCUAAUACAUGCAAGUCGAGCGAACAUACGAGGAGCUUGCUCCUUCGACGUUAGCGGCGGACGGGUGAUUAACACGUAGGUAACCUACCUAUAAGACUGGGAUAACUUCGGGAAACCGGAGCUACUACCGGAUAAUAUUUCGAACCGCAUGGUUCGAUAGUGAAAGAUGGCUUUGCUUUCACUUAUUGAUGGACCUGCGCCGUAUUAGCUAGUUGGUAAGGUAACGGCUUACCAAGGCAACGAUACGUAGCCGACCUGAGAGGGUGAUCGGCCACACUGGAACUGAGACACGGUCCAGACUCCUACGGGAGGCAGCAGUAGGGAAUCUUACGCAAUGGGGGAAAGCCUGACGGAGCAACGCCGCGUGAGUGAUGAAGGACUUAGGAUCGUAAAACUCUGUUAUUAGGGAAGAACAAACGUGUAAGUAACUGUGCACGUCAUGACGGUACCUGAACAGAAAGCCACGGCUAACUACGUG
rnacentral:rRNA from 1 species